rnacentral:rRNA from 1 species
UGCGCAGGUGGUUUUGUAAGCCAGAUGUGAAAUCCCCGGGCUCAACCUGGGAAUGGCAUUUGGGACUGCAAGGCUAGAGUGUGGCAGAGGGGGUGGAAUUCCGCGUGUAGCAGUGAAAUGCGUAGAGAUGCGGAGGAACACCGAUGGCGAAGGCAGCCCCCUGGGCUAACACUGACACUCAUGCACGAAAGCGUGGGGAGCAAACAGGAUUAGAUACCCUGGUAGUCCACGCCCUAAACGAUGUCUACUAGUUGUUGGGGUAGCAAUACCUUAGUAACGCAGCUAACGCGAGAAGUAGACCGCCUGGGGAGUACGGUCGCAAGAUUAAAA